GCCGGGCGUGGUGGCGGGCACCUGUAAUCCCAGCUACUCCGGAGGCUGAGGCAGGAGAAUCGCUUGAACCCGGGAGGCGAAGGUUGCAGUGAACUGAGAUCACGUCACUGCACUCCUGCCUGGGUAACAGAGCAAGACUCUGUCUCAA
ensembl:misc_RNA Metazoa_SRP Metazoan signal recognition particle RNA